CAGCCGCCGCGGUAAUACGGAGGAUCCAAGCGUUAUCCGGAAUCAUUGGGUUUAAAGGGUCCGUAGNCGGUUUAAUAAGUCAGUGGUGAAACCCCAUCGCUCAACGGUGGAACGGCCAUUGAUACUGUUAAACUUGAAUUAUUAGGAAGUAACUAGAAUAUGUAGUGUAGCGGUGAAAUGCUUAGAGAUUACAUGGAAUACCAAUUGCGAAGGCAGGNUACUACUAAUGGAUUGACGCUGAUGGACGAAAGCGUGGGUAGCGAACAGGAUUAGAUACCCUGGUAGUCCACGCCGUAAACGAUGGAUACUAGCUGUUGCGAGCAAUCUCAGUGGCUUAGCGAAAGUGAUAAGUAUCCCACCUGGGCAGUACGUUCGCAAGAAUGAAACUCAAAUGAAU
rnacentral:rRNA from 1 species